GAAGCGCCGGCUAACUACGUGCCAGCAGCCGCGGUAAUACGUAGGGCGCAAGCGUUAUCCGGAAUUAUUGGGCGUAAAGAGCUCGUAGGCGGUUUGUCGCGUCUGCCGUGAAAGUCCGGGGCUUAACCCCGGAUCUGCGGUGGGUACGGGCAGACUAGAGUGCAGUAGGGGAGACUGGAAUUCCUGGUGUAGCGGUGAAAUGCGCAGAUAUCAGGAGGAACACCGAUGGCGAAGGCAGGUCUCUGGGCUGUAACUGACGCUGAGGAGCGAAAGCAUGGGGAGCGAACAGGAUUAGAUACCCUGGUAGUCCAUGCCGUAAACGUUGGGCACUAGGUGUGGGGGACAUUCCACGUUUUCCGCGCCGUAGCUAACGCAUUAAGUGCCCCGCCUGGGGAGUACGGCCGCAAGGCUAAAACUCAAAGGAAUUGACGGGGGCCCGCACAAGCGGCGGAGCAUGCGGAUUAAUUCGAUGCAACGCGAAGAACCUUACCAAGGCUUGACAUGAACCGGAAUGAUGCAGAGAUGUGUCAGCCACUUGUGGCCGGUUUACAGGUGGUGCAUGGUUGUCGUCAGCUCGUGUCGUGAGAUGUUGGGUUAAGUCCCGCAACGAGCGCAACCCUCGUUCCAUGUUGCCAGCGGGUUAUGCCGGGGACUCAUGGGAGACUGCCGGGGUCAACUCGGAGGAAGGUGGGGACGACGUCAAAUCAUCAUGCCCCUUAUGUCUUGGGCUUCACGCAUGCUACAAUGGCCGGUACAAAGGGUUGCGAUACUGUGAGGUGGAGCUAAUCCCAAAAAGCCGGUCUCAGUUCGGAUUGAGGUCUGCAACUCGACCUCAUGAAGUUGGAGUCGCUAGUAAUCGCAGAUCAGCAACGCUGCGGUGAAUACGUUCCCGGGCCUUGUACACACCGCCCGUCAAGUCACGAAAGUUGGUAACACCCGAAGCCGGUGGCCUAACCCCUU
rnacentral:rRNA from 1 species